GAUGAACGCUGGCGGCGUGCCUAAUACAUGCCAGUCGAGCGAACAGACGAGGAGCUUGCUCCUCUGACGUUAGCGGCGGACGGGUGAGUAACACGUGGAUAACCUACCUAUAAGACUGGGAUAACUUCGGGAAACCGGAGCUAAUACCGGAUAAUAUAUUGAACCGCAUGGUUCAAUAGUGAAAGACGGUUUUGCUGUCACUUAUAGAUGGAUCCACGCCGCAUUAGCUAGUUGGUAAGGUAACGGCUUACCAAGGCAACGAUGCGUAGCCGACCUGAGAGGGUGAUCGGCCACACUGGAACUGAGACACGGUCCAGACUCCUACGGGAGGCAGCAGUAGGGAAUCUUCCGCAAUGGGCGAAAGCCUGACGGAGCAACGCCGCGUGAGUGAUGAAGGUCUUCGGAUCGUAAAACUCUGUUAUUAGGGAAGAACAAAUGUGUAAGUAACUAUGCACGUCUUGACGGUACCUAAUCAGAAAGCCACGGCUAACUACGUG
rnacentral:rRNA from 1 species